UAGGGAAUAUUAGAAAUGGACGAAAGUCUGGUCUAGCGACACCGCGUGUGCGAAGAAGGCCUUCGGGUUGUAAAGCACUUUUUGGAAGGAAUAGGAAGGAAGGUACUUCCAGAAUAAGUCUCGGCUAACUACGUGCCAGCAGCCGCGGUAACACGUAGGAGGCGAACGUUAUCCGGAUUUACUGGGCGUAAAGCGCGUGUAGGUGGUUUUGUAAGUAGGGCGUGAAAGCUCCUGGCUCAACUAGGAGAGGCCGUUCUAAACUGCAGAGCUAGAGGAUGGUAGAGGGAGGUGGAAUUCCAGGUGUAGCGGUGGAAUGCACAGAUAUCUGGAGGAACACCAGUGGCGAAGGCGGCCUCCUGGACCAUUCCUGACACUCAGACGCGAAAGCUAGGGUAGCAAACGG
rnacentral:rRNA from 1 species